AUGACUGAGCAGAUGACCCUCUGUGGCACCCUCAGGGUCCUCAAUGGCUGGGUAACUCAGCCACCACCUCGCAGCUCCCAGACAUGAUACCAUCGGCCUCUUGAGACAAGACUAUGACCAUAUGAAAGCUGACCAGGGAUGAGACCAACUAUGGCAUCUGGCAGCGUGCUCUGUGGGGUCCCUUCCACUUUGUCAGUGAUGUGGUCAUCUCCCUGCGCCUGUGGGAUCUCACCAUGGGCACCACCACAAGGCGAUUCGUAGGCCAUACCAAGGAUGUGUUGAGCGUGGCCUUCUCCUCUGACAACUGGCAGAUUGUCUCUGGAUCCCAAGACAAAACUAUCAAGUUAUAGAAUACUCUGGGUGUCUGCAAGUACACAGUCCAGGAUGAGAGUCACUCUGUGUGGGUUUCCUGUGUCCGGUUUUCACCCAACAGCAGCAACCCUAUCAUCGUCUUGUGUGGCUGGGACAAGCUGGGAAAGGUAUGGAAUUUGGCUAAUUGUCAGCUGAAGACUAAUCACAUUGGCCACAUGGGCUAUCUGAACACUGUGACUGUCUUUCCAGAUGGUUCUCUCUGUGCUUCAGGAGACAAGAAUGGCCAGGCCAUGUUGUGGGAUCUCAAUGAAGGCAAGCACCUUUAUACGCUAGAUGGUGGGAGCAUCAUCACUGCCCCGUGCUUCAGCCCUACCGCUACUGGCUGUGUGCUGCCACCGGCCCCAGCAUCAAGAUCUGGGACCUAGAAGGCAAGAUCAUUGUAGAUGAACUUAAACAAGAAGUUAUCAGCACCAGCAGCAAGGCAGAGCCACCCCAGUGCACCUCAUUGGCCUGCCAGGGUAAUAGGCAGACUCUGUUUGCUGGCUACACUGACAACCUGGUGUGGGUAUGGCAGGUGACCAUUGGUGCCCACUAGAAACUAUGACAGAGCUUUAUAAA